rnacentral:ncRNA from 1 species
AACUCUGGAGAGUCUUUGAAAUAGAAGCGCCGAAGGUGUACGGCAGGAAGCUGCCAAUCUCUCAGGCAAAAGGACAGAGCAU